rnacentral:rRNA from 1 species
GACGAACGCUGGCGGCGUGCCUAAUACAUGCAAGUCGAGCGGACAGAAGGGAGCUUGCUCCCGGAUGUUAGCGGCGGACGGGUGAGUAACACGUGGGUAACCUGCCUGUAAGACUGGGAUAACUCCGGGAAACCGGAGCUAAUACCGGAUAGUUCCUUGAACCGCAUGGUUCCAGGAUGAAAGACGGUUUCGGCUGUCACUUACAGAUGGACCCGCGUCGCAUUAGCUCGGUGGGGGGGUAAUGGCUCACCAAGGCGACGAGGCGUAGCCGACCUGAGAGGGUGAUCGGCCACACUGGGAAUGAGACACGGCCCAGACUCCUACGGGAGGAAGCAGUAGGGAAUCUUCCGCAAUGGACGAAAGUCUGACGGAGCAACGCCGCGUGAGUGAUGAAGGUUUUCGGAUCGUAAAGCUCUGUUGUUAGGGAAGAACAAGUGCGAGAGUAACUGCUCGCACCUUGACGGUACCUAACCAGAAAGCCACGGCUAACUACGUGCCAGCCGCCGCUGUAA